GUGAAAUGAUUUGCUCCCCCUUAACCCUAGCUUGAGUUUAAAUGUAAAUUGGUUUUGGUAAAUGCCAUCACCUAAAUGGUAACUUCUCUUGCCUUUUUUCUUAUUCCUUAAGGUUUCCCAAAGCCGGUGACCAGCGAAGAAAAUGGGAAGUCGCUCUUAAAAGACAGGGUUUUGCUGCCAAUGACGAUACCAUGCUCUGCAGUAAACAUUUCAAGCCAGAGCAUUUUGACCGGACUGGUCAAACUGUCAGGAUCAGACUUGGUGUUGUUCCAUCCAUCUUUGCCUUCCCCGCUCAUCUUCUAAAAUCAACAGCCAGCACUGACCGGACCACCUCGAAUUCAAGGCGAGCCAAGGAGAGCCUUCCAAUGGACAUCCCUCAAUAUGCCCCUGUUGAACCUGCAGCUCUGCCUCAGUCUCAGCUUGUUGACCACACUUAUGCUCUGUCCAGUUGCCCUUUUGCUCUUAAGGAGGGGUACAUUAAGGCAAAGGACAAUGUAAGCAGACUGCAGAGGGAAAAGACGAAUACAAGGAAGCGUGAAUUGAGGGCAAAGAGUUCCUUGCAGGAUGUGCUGAUGGAGCUGAGGGAGAAAAACUUGAUGACUGAAGAACUAAGUCAGAGGGUUGGAUUGUAUGCAGAUCUCCCACUGCACCUUUUCGAGAAAAAGGCCAGUGAAUACAGCAAAGAACAGAGGGAGUUUGCCAUCACAUUACACCUGCAUGGACCCAAGGCAUACCGCUACCUCAGAAGCACGCUGCAACUUCCUCUCCCUCAUCCACGCUCAUUGUAAAGGUGGUUGUCAUCAUUGGAUGAGAGGCCGGGCCUGAAUAUAAUGAUGCUCAACAUGUUGGGGCGUAAAUUGGAAGAAGACCCUGACAAGCAUGGCCAUGUGACAUUAAUGCUGGAUGCCAUGUCCAUAAAGAAGCAUCUGCAGUACAAUCCUCGGACUAAACGGAUGUCAGGAUAUGUGGACCUAGGCAACGGCUGUAACGAAACGGAUCCUGCCACAGAGGCUCUAGUGUUGAUGGUCGUUGGCCUUAAAGGCCAUUGGAAGGCACCGAUAGGCUACUUCUUUACUGCAACACUCACAGCAGACACACAAAAAGAGCUUGUUGUCCACGCUUUGGAGGCACUACAUGACCGUUCCAUCAAAGUAGUGAGUGUUACCAUGGAUGGACAUGCCACCAACCUGGGUAUGUGCAACUUGCUUGGAACUAAUCUUAAGGGAAACCGGAAAGACCCCCUGAAGACCAGCUUUACUCAUCCCUCUUCAGGUGAUGAGGUAUUUGUCAUAAUGGAUGCGUGCCACAUGCUCAAGCUCGCACGCAAUAUGCUUGAGGUAAUACAUUUCUCUUUGUAUUUGUGGUGGUCUUUAUAUUCCCAUCCUCUGUAUGCACCAUCAUCAUAUAUCAUAUACUAUUCUUUCGCAUAUCUUCAUGCAGUUGCUGAUGGGCGUAUCCCUCUGUAGCUGCCAAAACCACGUUUACAUCGUGGUUGUACUCGUGCGACUAAUAAU